rnacentral:rRNA from 1 species
UUGUUGGUAAAUCUCGUGCCAGCCACCGCGGUUAUACGAGAGACCCUAGUUGAUUAAUAACGGCGUAAGAGUGGUUAAAAUUAAACAAAUACUAAAGCUAAAGAUCUUCCUAGCCGUCGUACGCACCUCGAAGACUUGAAACCCAGACACGAAAGUAGCUUUACUAAAUUUGACCCCACGAAAGCUAAGAAACAAACUAGGAUUAGAUACCCCACUA